rnacentral:rRNA from 1 species
GGAUUAGAUACCCUGGUAGUCCACGCCGUAAACGAUGUCUACUAGCCGUUGGGAGACUUGAUCUUUUAGUGGCGCAGCUAACGCACUAAGUAGACCGCCUGGGGAGUACGGCCGCAAGGUUAAAACUCAAAUGAAUUGACGGGGGCCCGCACAAGCGGUGGAGCAUGUGGUUUAAUUCGAUGCAACGCGAAGAACCUUACCAGGUCUUGACAUCCAGAGAAGUUACCAGAGAUGGUUUCGUGCCUUCGGGAGCUCUGUGACAGGUGCUGCAUGGCUGUCGUCAGCUCGUGCUG